AUACGGAGGAUCCGAGCGUUAUCCGAAUUUAUUGGGUUUAAAGGGUGCGCAGGCGGCCAUUUAAGUCAGCGGUUAAAUCGUGGGGCUCAACCCCAUUCUGCCGUUGAUACUGGGUGGCUUGAUUGCGGUCGAGGUUGGCGGAAUUCGUUGUGUAGCGGUGAAAUGCAUAGAUAUGACGAAGAACACCGAUUGCGUAGGCAGCUGACCAGACCGCAAAUGACGCUCAUGCACGAAAGUGCGGGGAUCGAACAGGAUUAGAUACCCUGGUAGUCCGCACAGUAAACGAUGAAUACUUGUUUUCGGCGAUAUAAUGUCGGAGGCAAAGCGAAAGCGAUAAGUAUUCCACCUGGGGAGUACGCCGGCAACGGUGAAACUCAAAGGAAUUGACGGGG
rnacentral:rRNA from 1 species